ensembl:lncRNA
UUCGGACGCAGCGUUUACCCGCUCUGUCCUCGUGUUGACGUUACGGCUUUGAGUCCUCACAGCACCGCCCCCAUCCCUCCCUCCUCCUCCACCCCUUCGAGAUGAGCGACGCCCACUACUGGGUGGAGGACUACGACCUGUCCUCCACCACCACCACGGCCCCCGGCCACGGCCCCUCCGGGGGGCCCUUCGGGGGGCCCCUGCCUCCCGUGGCGGUCCACUCGGAGCUGGGCACGGCCCUGUGCCUGGUGGGCCUGCUGCUGCUCCUGCUGCUCUUCCUGGUGGUCCGCUGCAUCCGCAUCCUGCUGGACCCCUACAGCAGCAUGCCCUCCUCCUCCUGGACCGACCACAAGGAGGGCCUGGACCGGGGCCAGUUCGACUACGCCCUGGUGUAGAGAGGUGGAGGACAGUACUAGGCCCUGGUGUAGAGAGGUGGAGGACGGUACUACGCCCUGGUGUAGGAGAGGUGGAGGACAGUACUAGGCCCUGGUGUAGGAGAGGUGGAGGACAGUACUAGGCCCUGGUGUAGGAGAGGUGGAGGACAGUACUAGGCCCUGGUGUAGGGGAGGUGGAGCACAGGGCGCAGUUUGACUACACCCUGAUGGAGGAGGGGUGGAGGACAGGAGGACAGUGUAUUGUCUCAAUAGUUUUCCUUCAAACCCUCCCAGCAUUACCAUUAUCAACCCAGGAACUAAAUGGAGCAACCUCAUAUCUUCCAUGCAUUCUUCAUAGUUGUGUCUGCAUCUCCUAGAAACUAGAAAUGAUCAACAAAUAGUUCAAAAGGAGCGUUGAUGUUAAUUGGGUUGACUUGAGGUCUUGUGUCGUGGUCUGUAAUCAGGUACCGCAUAGGCCAGAGGGAUGAGAGGAACAAAAAGGUAUCUGUGUCAACGCGUAAUGCUAUAAAGGUGGAGGACAUUGUCAUUAUACAUUUCUUUAAUGUUUAGACGAAACCCAGGUCAAACUGGUGUGGCUGGGUGCACAGCACGGAUCAAUUACAGUCAGACCUAAUGAGUUUACGAAGUAACAAAGAACUACAGUACUAAUAAUUAAGAUCGAGAGCCAAAUUCUCUCUCUUCCCAUGGUUGUCAAGGGUUUUGUUGUUACCAGCAACAUUUUCUCAGGCAGGCCCGAACAUGUCAACAUCACCCCCCCCAUAACCAAACAAGAUGUCAAAGGAAGUCAGGGAACGCUCUUCCUCAGGAAAAUAUGGAUCGAAGCCAAGUCAAGCAAGGUCCAGGGUGUCGUUGGUUCUCAGGAAAACAAUCAACUAUUCUCCGUUUAGGGAAACAGAUUGUUGAGCUCUAUGGUGAAAGAAACACAUCCAAAUAAAAUAGUUAAAUAUUAUUAUUUGUGCUAAUCUCUGUAAAUCAGGUUUAAUUCAUGAAACCCAGUUGGAUACAUCACUGAUGUGUGGUGAUCUAUCUAUUUCAUGAUGCAAUCCCCUUUAGCAGCAGUUUCACUUUGAUAUUGUCUUAAUAUUUAUAAUGGAGUGCAUGAAGAUUGCCCUUCUUGGUAAGUAAUAUGUUUCCCGUCAGGUCCCAAAAUAUAUACCAGCCAAAGCUGUCAAUAGUGCCUUUAAAUUAACAGCAGAACAUGGUGCUGUUGCUUUGUGUUUAUUGUAUUGUUAAUUUGAUUACUCCAUUUGCCAACAUAUGUUUACGCAACAAAACAAGUUGUUGCGUGUUAUUUUUUUCCAUCAAACAAAUAUAUACUAUUGCACCUUAGUCAUUAGCUUGUGAAAUGGGUUAUACAUGUUUCUGUAAUCA